rnacentral:rRNA from 1 species
GACGAACGCUGGCGGCGUGCUUAACACAUGCAAGUCGAACGGAAAGGCCCUGCUUUUGUGGGGUGCUCGAGUGGCGAACGGGUGAGUAACACGUGAGUAAAAUGCACUUGUCUUUGGGAUAACUUCAGGAAACUGGGGCUAAUACCGGGUAGGAGCUCCUGCUGCAUGGUGGGGGUUGGAAAGUUUCGGCGGUUGGGGAUGGACUCGCUGGUUAUCCGCUUGUUUGUCGAGUAGUGGUUUUCCAAGCUUUAGAGGGGUAGCCGGCCUUGGAGGGUGACCGGCCUCAAUGGGACUGAGAGACGGCCCAGAAGCCUACGGGAGGCAGCAGUGGAGAACAUGGCACAAUGGGGGGAAGCCUAAUACAGCAACGUCGCGUGCGUGAUGACGUCCUUCGGGGUGUAAACCGCUGUCUCCGGUGACGAAGCGGGAGUGACGGUAAUGGGUAAAGAAGCACCGGCUAACUACGUG